rnacentral:rRNA from 1 species
UACGAGGGGGGCAAGCGUUGUUCGGAUUCACUGGGCGUAAAGGGUGCGUAGGCGGUCGGAUAAGUCUGACGUGAAAUCUCCGGGCCUAACCCGGAAACUGCGUUGGAAACUAUCUGGCUAGAGGAAUGGAGGGGAGACUGGAAUACUUGGUGUAGCAGUGAAAUGCGUAGAUAUCAAGUGGAACACCAGUGGCGAAGGCGAGUCUCUGGACAUUUCCUGACGCUGAGGCACGAAAGCCAGGGGAGCAAACGGG